GAUGAAGAACGUAGCGAAAUGCGAUAAGUAGUGUGAAUUGCAGAAUUCAGUGAAUCAUCGAAUCUUUGAACGCACAUUGCGCCCCUUGGUAUUCCAUGGGGCAUGCCUGUUCGAGCGUCAUCUACACCCUCAAGCUCUGCUUGGUGUUGGGUGUUUGUUCCGCCUCUGUGUGUGAACUCGCCUCAAAACAAUUGGCAGCCGGCGUACUUGUUUCGGAGCGCAGCACAUUUUGCGAUCCAGAUCAACGUACAGCGGCAUCCAAGAAGCCUUAUUUAACGCUCUUGACCUCGGAUCAGGUAGGGAUACCCGCUGAACUUAAGCAUAUCAAUAAGCGGAGGA
rnacentral:misc_RNA from 1 species